rnacentral:ribozyme from 2 species
UUUUUUUUUUUUUUUUUUUUUUUUUUUUUUUUUUUUU